rnacentral:rRNA from 1 species
CCUACGGGAGGCAGCAGUGGGGAAUAUUGCACAAUGGGGGAAACCCUGAUGCAGCGACGCCGCGUGAGUGAAGAAGUAUUUCGGUACGUAAAGCUCUAUCAGCAGGGAAGAAAAUGACGGUACCUGACUAAGAAGCCCCGGCUAACUACGUGCCAGCAGCCGCGGUAAUACGGAGGGGGCAAGCGUUAUCCGGAUUUACCGGGUGUAAAGGGAGCGUAGACGGCAGCGCAAGUCUGGAGUGAAAUCCCAUGGCUUAACCAUGGAACUGCUUUGGAAACUGUGCAGCUAGAGUGCAGGAGAGGUAAGCGGAAUUCCUAGUGUAGCGGUGAAAUGCGUAGAUAUUAGGAGGAACACCAGUGGCGAAGGCGGCUUACUGGACUGUAACUGACGUUGAGGCUCGAAAGCGUGGGGAGCAAACAGGAUUAGAUACCCGAGUAGUC